AAUGAGAUGUCUUUUAGUGUAGGAAGAAUAUAAUUCUGUUAUGCUUUAUGCUUUAUGUUUUCUGUUACAUGAGUUACAGUUGCCCUUAUAAUGGCCUUUAUGGUUGUAAAAAGGUUAUAAUGGCCUUCAUGGUUGUAAAAAAGGGUAGAGAAUGAUAAUAUAGUUUUAUCCUUAUCUUAAUUAGUUCUUUCCUUAGUUUUUCUCCUUGUGUUCUGAUCCCUACUCUUUCACAACAUA
rnacentral:lncRNA from 1 species